rnacentral:rRNA from 1 species
GUAGGUGGCAAGCGUUGUCCGGAAUUAUUGGGCGUAAAGCGCGCGCAGGCGGUUCUUUAAGUCUGAUGUGAAAGCCCACGGCUCAACCGUGGAGGGUCAUUGGAAACUGGAGAACUUGAGUACAGAAGAGGAAAGCGGAAUUCCACGUGUAGCGGUGAAAUGCGUAGAGAUGUGGAGGAACACCAGUGGCGAAGGCGGCUUUCUGGUCUGCAACUGACGCUGAGGCGCGAAAGCGUGGGGGGAGCAAACAGGAUUAGAUACCCUGGUAGUCCACGCCGUAAACGAUGAGUGCUAAGUGUUAGGGGGUUUCCGCCCCCCCCUUAGUGCUGCAGCUAACGCAUUAAGCACUCCGCCUGGGAGUACGGCCGCAAGGCUG